CCAGAAUACUAAGACAGAGCUAUGGGGGCUGAGGCGUUUGUCUUUCUUGUUGGGUGUUCUCUUGCCAUGAUUGCAGGAAUAAGCAGCCACGAAGAUAGCUUUGAAUUCUCAAGCAUUGAAGACAUGUCUGGAGAGAUUGAUGAAGAACACUCGAGAAGCCGCAGGUCACCGAAAGACAAACAGAGUAAGACCAGUGAAAGCACGGAAAGCAGCGAGAGCAAGUCGAAAGAGUCUUCAGAAAAAAGAGAUAAGAAUACUGUAUCUAGUACGCCAUCAGCGAUAUCCUCAAGAGCAACGCGUGAGACAAUAAACGCCACCGCUGGGACAAGCACGACAAAGGCCGCAAACUGACGUACUUUAAUCGAAAAUAAAUCGUUGUUUGCCAAC